rnacentral:sRNA from 1 species
GAUUACAUAAGGUUGCCUCUAAGUAGU